rnacentral:rRNA from 1 species
UGGCGCACGGGUGCGUAACGCGUAACCAACCUACCCAGAACUGGGGGAUAGCCCGCCGAAAGGCGGAUUAAUACCGCAUAAGCUUUGUGCCUGGCAUCAGGUGCUUAGUAAAGAUUUAUUGGUUUUGGAUGGGGUUGCGUGCCAUUAGCUAGUUGGGGAGGUAACGGCUCACCAAGGCGACGAUGGCUAGGGGAGCUGAGAGGCUGGUCCCCCACACGGGCACUGAGAUACGGGCCCGACUCCUACGGGAGGCAGCAGUAGGGAAUAUUGGGCAAUGGUCGAGAGACUGACCCAGCCAUGCCGCGUGCAGGAUGAAGGCUUUCUGAGUCGUAAACUGCUUUUAUCAGGGAAGAAUAAGGACUAUGCGUAGUCUGAUGACGGUACCUGAGGAAUAAGCACCGGCUAACUCCGUGCCAGCAGCCGCGGUAAUACGGAGGGUGCGAGCGUUGUCCGGAUUUAUUGGGUUUAAAGGGUGCGUAGGCGGCUUCAUAAGUCUGGGGUGAAAGCCCGCUGCUCAACAGCGGAACUGCCCUGGAUAC